rfam:Myotis davidii contig196579, whole genome shotgun sequence.
GCUGGUUUGGCUCAAUGGAUAGAGCGUCAGCCCAUGGACUGAAGGGUCAUGGGUUUGAUUCCCAUCAACGACG